rnacentral:rRNA from 1 species
UACGAAGGUGGCAAGCGUUACUCGGAAUUACUAGGCGUAAAGGGCAGGUAGGUGGUUUGGUAAGUCUGUUGUGAAAGCUCCUUGCUUAACGGGGAGAGGUCAACAGAUACUGCCAGGCUUGAGUAUGGGAGAGGGUACUGGAAUUCCAGGUGUAGCGGUGAAAUGCGUAGAUAUCUGGAGGAAUACCGGUGGCGAAGGCGGCAUCCUGGACCGACGAUUGACGCUGAGGAGCGAAAGCUAGGGGAGCAAACGGGG